AAUGAACGCUGGCGGCAGGCCUAACACAUGCAAGUCGAGCGGAGCGGCGGACGGGUGAGUAAUGCCUAGGAAUCUGCCUGGUAGUGGGGGAUAACGUCCGGCAACGGGCGCUAAUACCGCAUACUAUCAGAUGAGCCUAGGUCGGAUUAGCUAGUUGGUGGGGUAAAGGCCUACCAGGGCGACGAUCCGUAACUGGUCUGAGAGGAUGAUCAGUCAAACGGGAACUGAGAAACGGUCCAGACUCCUACGGGAGGCAGCAGGGGGGAAUAUUGGACAAUGGGCGAAAGCCUGAGGCAGACAGGCGGCGUGUGUGAAGAAGGUCUUCGGAUUGUAAAGCAUUUUAAGUUGGGAGGCGGUACCAACAGAAUAAGCACCGGCUAACUUCGUGCCAGCCGCCGCGGUAAUUC
rnacentral:rRNA from 1 species